GGGAGGCCGCACCAUGCUGCCCAUUCGCUGGAUGCCGCCCGAGAGCAUCCUGUACCGCAAGUUCACCACCGAGAGCGACGUGUGGAGCUUCGGCGUGGUCCUCUGGGAGAUCUUCACCUACGGCAAGCAGCCCUGGUACCAGCUCUCCAACACGGAGACCUCAGCAGGAAUUAUCAGAGUGCAAGGGACCAGCACGGGAAGAGGAACCCAGCACAAGAAGGCCCAACACUGCAGCAGGACGGCUGGAGGCAAUCGACUGCAUCACGCAGGGACGUGAGUUGGAGCGGCCACGUGCCUGCCCACCAGAGGUCUACGCCAUCAUGCGGGGCUGCUGGCAGCGGGAGCCCCAGCAACGCCACAGCAUCAAGGAUGUGCACGCCCGGCUGCAAGCCCUGGCCCAGGCACCUCCUGUCUACCUGGAUGUCCUGGGCUAGGGGGCCGGCCCAGGGUCUGGGAGUGGUUAGCCGGAAUACUGGGGCCUGCCCUCAGCAUCCCCCAUAGCUCCCAGCAGCCCCAGGGUGAUCUCAAAGUAUCUAACUCACCCUCAGCAUGUGGGAGGGGACUGGUGGGGGCUGGGAGUAGAGGAUGUUCCUGCUUCUCUAGGCAAGGUCCCGUCAUAGCAAUUAUAUUUAUUAUCCCUUG
rnacentral:sRNA from 1 species